GACGAACGCUGGCGGCGUGCUUAACACAUGCAAGUCGAACGGUGAAAGCGGAGCUUGCUCCGCUGGAUCAGUGGCGAACGGGUGAGUAACACGUGGGCAACCUGCCCCUCACUUCGGGAUAACUCCGGGAAACCGGGGCAAAUACCGGCUAACAUUUUGAACCGCAUGGUUCGAACUUGAAAGGCGGCUUCGGCUUGCACUUAUGGAUGGACGCGCGUCGCAUUAGGUAGUUGGUAAGGUAACGGCUCACCAAGGCAACGAUGCGUAGCCGACCUGAGAGGGUGAUCGGCCACACUGGGACUGAGACACUGCCCAGACUCCUACGGUAGGCAGCAGUAGGGAAUCUUCCGCAAUGGACGAAAGUCUGACGGAGCAACGCCGCGUGAGUGAUGAAGGCUUUCGGGCCGUAAAACUCUGUUGUUAGGGAAGAACAAGUGCUAGUUGAAUAAUCUGGCACCUUGACGGUACCUAACCAGAAAGCCACGGCUAACUACGUGCCAGCCGCCGCAGUAA
rnacentral:rRNA from 1 species